AUGCACGCUGGCGGCGUGCCUAAUCCCUGCCAGUCGAGCGCACAGAUGAGGAGCUUGCUCCUCUGACGUUAGCGGCGGACGGGUGAGUAACACGUGGAUAACCUACCUAUAAGACUGGGAUAACUUCGGGAAACCGGAGCUAAUACCGGAUAAUAUAUUGAACCGCAUGGUUCAAUAGUGAAAGACGGUUUUGCUGUCACUUAUAGAUGGAUCCGCGCCGCAUUAGCUAGUUGGUAAGGUAACGGCUUACCAAGGCAACGAUGCGUAGCCGACCUGAGAGGGUGAUCGGCCACACUGGAACUGAGACACGGUCCAGACUCCUACGGGAGGCAGCAGUAGGGAAUCUUCCGCAAUGGGCGAAAGCCUGACGGAGCAACGCCGCGUGAGUGAUGAAGGUCUUCGGAUCGUAAAACUCUGUUAUUAGGGAAGAACAAAUGUGUAAGUAACUAUGCACGUCUUGACGGUACCUAAUCAGAAAGCCACGGCUAACUACGUG
rnacentral:rRNA from 1 species